UGAGUGAAGAAGGAUUUCGGUUCGUAAAGCUCUGUUGUUAGGGAAGAAUGAUUGUGUAGUAACUAUACACAGUAGAGACGGUACCUAACCAGAAAGCCACGGCUAACUACGUGCCAGCAGCCGCGGUAAUACGUAGGUGGCAAGCGUUGUCCGGAAUUAUUGGGCGUAAAGCGCGCGCAGGUGGUUUAAUAAGUCUGAUGUGAAAGCCCACGGCUCAACCGUGGAGGGUCAUUGGAAACUGUUAAACUUGAGUGCAGGAGAGAAAAGUGGAAUUCCUAGU
rnacentral:rRNA from 1 species